rnacentral:rRNA from 1 species
CCGCAGAGUUUGAUCAUGGCUCAGGACGAACGCUGGCGGCGUGCCUAAUACAUGCAAGUCGAGCGGACAGAUGGGAGCUUGCUCCCUGAUGUUAGCGGCGGACGGGUGAGUAACACGUGGGUAACCUGCCUGUAAGACUGGGAUAACUCCGGGAAACCGGGGCUAAUACCGGAUGGUUGUUUGAACCGCAUGGUUCAGACAUAAAAGGUGGCUUCGGCUAYCACUUACAGAUGGACCCGCGGCGCAUUAGCUAGUUGGUGAGGUAACGGCUCACCAAGGCGACGAUGCGUAGCCGACCUGAGAGGGUGAUCGGCCACACUGGGACUGAGACACGGCCCAGACUCCUACGGGAGGCAGCAGUAGGGAAUCUUCCGCAAUGGACGAAAGUCUGACGGAGCAACGCCGCGUGAGUGAUGAAGGUUUUCGGAUCGUAAAGCUCUGUUGUUAGGGAAGAACAAGUGCCGUUCRAAUAGGGCGGCACCUUGACGGUACCUAACCAGAAAGCCACGGCUAACUACGUGCCAGCAGCCGCGGUAAUACGUAGGUGGCAAGCGUUGUCCGGAAUUAUUGGGCGUAAAGGGCUCGCAGGCGGUUUCUUAAGUCUGAUGUGAAAGCCCCCGGCUCAACCGGGGAGGGUCAUUGGAAACUGGGGAACUUGAGUGCAGAAGAGGAGAGUGGAAUUCCACGUGUAGCGGUGAAAUGCGUAGAGAUGUGGAGGAACACCAGUGGCGAAGGCGACUCUCUGGUCUGUAACUGACGCUGAGGAGCGAAAGCGUGGGGAGCGAACAGGAUUAGAUACCCUGGUAGUCCACGCCGUAAACGAUGAGUGCUAAGUGUUAGGGGGUUUCCGCCCCUUAGUGCUGCAGCUAACGCAUAAGCAYUCCGCC